CCACUCCCUGUUCAGCCAUGGACUGGUCUCCUGGGCCCCUAAGGCCUCCCUCAGCCAGGUUCACUGCUCCCUCACUCACCAUGGACACAUCACCCAC